rnacentral:piRNA from 1 species
CGAAGUACAAAUGUCAAAAAC